GAUUACCCACUGAACUUAAGCAUAUCAAUAAGUGGUGGAAAAGAAAAUAACUAUGAUUUCCCUAGUAACGGCGAGUGAAUAGGAAAAAGCUCAUACUGAAAAUCUAUUGUUUUAGAAAAAAGGCAAUUGAAUUGUAGUAUUUUCGAGAGUAGAAGUAUUAGGAUUGGAUUGGUUACGAAAUAAGUUUGUUGGAAAACAAUACCAUAGAAGGUGAUAGUCCUGUUAUUUUCGAAUAUCAAUUCAAUUCCAUCAUUCAACUCUUUAGAGUCGGGUUAUUUGGGAGUAUAGCCUAAAUUGGGUGGUAAAUUUCAUCUAAAGCUAAAUAUCAGGAAAAAGACCGAUAGCGAAUUCAAGUACCGCGAGGGAAAGAUGAAAAGAACUUUGAAAAGAGAGUUAAAAAAGGG
rnacentral:rRNA from 1 species